rnacentral:rRNA from 1 species
GGGCCCGCACAAGCGGUGGAGUAUGUGGUUUAAUUCGAUGCAACGCGAAGAACCUUACCAGGGUUUGACAUCCUGCGAAUCUCUUGGAAACAGGAGAGUGCCUUCGGGAACGCAGUGACAGGUGGUGCAUGGCUGUCGUCAGCUCGUGUCGUGAGAUGUUGGGUUAAGUCCCGCAACGAGCGCAACCCACGUCUUUAGUUGCCAGCAUUUAGUUGGGCACUCUAGAGAGACUGCCGGUGAUAAACCGGAGGAAGGUGUGGAUGACGUCAAGUCAUCAUGCCCCUUACAUCCUGGGCUACACACGUACUACAAUGCUACGGACAAAGAGCAGCAAGUUCGCGAGGACAAGCAAAUCUCAUAAACCGUGGCUCAGUUCAGAUCGUAGGCUGCAACUCGCCUACGUGAAGGAGGAAUCGCUAG